rnacentral:rRNA from 1 species
GACGAACGCUGGCGGCGUGCUUAACACAUGCAAGUCGAACGGAAAGGCCCUGCUUUUGUGGGGUGCUCGAGUGGCGAACGGGUGAGUAACAUGUGAGUAACCUGCCCUUGACUUUGGGAUAACUUCAGGAAACUGGGGCUAAUACCGGAUAGGAGCUCCUGCUGCAUGGUGGGGGUUGGAAAGUUUCGGCGGUUGGGGAUGGACUCGCGGCUUAUCAGCUUGUUGGUGGGGUAGUGGCUUACCAAGGCUUUGACGGGUAGCCGGCCUAAGAGGGUGACCGGCCACAUUGGGACUGAGAUACGGCUCAGACUCCUACGGGAGGCAGCAGUGGGGAAUAUUGCACAAUGGGCGGAAGCCUGAUGCAGCAACGCCGCGUGCGGGAUGACGGCCUUCGGGUUGUAAACCGCUUUCGCCUGUGACGAAGCGUGAGUGACGGUAAUGGGUAAAGAAGCACCGGCUAACUACGUG